rnacentral:rRNA from 1 species
CAGAACGGUCGUCGCUACUACCGAUUGAUGGCUUAGUGAGCCUUUGGGAUUGGCAGCCAACACCGGCAACGGUAGCUGGCCGCCGAAAACUUAUGCAAACUUGGUCAUUUAGAGGAAGUAAAAGUCGUAACAAGGUUUCUGUAGGUGAACCUGCAGAAGGAUCAUUAGUGAAAGCAAGGGCCAGCCAUACGGACGGCGCUACUCGCGUACAACGUCUCUGGCGCCCAACUUUACACAAUAUCCACAAACCCGUGUGCACCGUUUGGAUGAGUUGGACCUCGCAAGAGGCUCGGCUCUCCAAUCCAUUUCUACCAAACUCGUAUGGUUUGUAUGAACGUGGAAAUCGUUGGACCGUAACUGGCCAACAACCAAUAAUACAACUUUCGACAACGGAUCUCUUGGUUCUCCCAUCGAUGAAGAGCGCAGCGAAACGCGAUAGGUAAUGUGAAUUGCAGAAUUCCGUGAAUCAUCGAAUCUUUGAACGCACCUUGCGCUCCAUGGUAUUCCCGUGGAGCAUGCCUGUUUGAGUGCCGUGAAUUCUCUCUCCCCAAGCGGUUGCGAUUGCACUGCUUUGGCGGACGAGGUUGGAUGGGUGCUUCUGCCUGUUUCGCAAGAAACAGGCUCGCCCGAAAUGCAUUAGCGCCUUUGGGACACACUCUGCAAACCGCUCUGAAAGGGAGGGCGGCAGAGGGGAUGGAGGAACUCCGCCCGUCAGCUAUACCAAACUUUGCCCCAGGCAAGCGCAUGGCAUGAUACGUCAUUUGCUGUGUGUGCGUCCUGAGGCAAGGGGCCGAUGUGGUGCCUUUGUCACUCUGUGGGUGUGUUGGUGCGCUACCAAUCCUGCGUGGAGGCUGGUCUGUGCGCAAGCAUGGAGCAGUUCUUGUGAACGCAUUCCCUUUUUUCAUUUCUGGUCUCAAAUCAGGUAGGAUCACCCGCUGAACUUAAGCAUAUCAUUAAGCGGAGGAAAAGAAACUAACAAGGAUUCCCCUAGUAACGGCGAGUGAAGAGGGAAGAGCUCAAAUUUGAAAGCUGGUACCUUCGGUAUCCGCGUUGUAACCUCGAGACACGUUUUCCGUGCGGCGCUAUGGACAAGUUCCUUGGAACAGGACAUCGUAGAGGGUGAAAAUCCCGUACUUGCCAUGGAUGUACCGCGCUUUGCGAUACGUGCUCUAAGAGUCGAGUUGUUUGGGAUUGCAGCUCAAAAUGGGUGGUAGACUCCAUCUAAAGCUAAAUAUCGGGGAGAGACCGAUAGCGAACAAGUACCGUGAGGGAAAGAUGAAAAGCACUUUGGAAAGAGAGUUAAAAGUACGUGAAAUUGUCGAAAGGGAAGCGCUUGAAGUCAGCCAUGCCGCUCAGGACUCAGCCUGGCUUUUGCUUGGUGUAUUUCCUGGGUAGCAAGUCAGCAUUGGUUUGGAUCGUCGGAGAAGCAUAGUCGGAAUGUGGCGCCCUCGGGCGUGUUAUAGCCUUCUAUUGGAUACGACGAUCUAGACCAAGGAACGCAGCGCGCCUUAUGGCGGGUCUUCGGACACCUUCGCGCUUAGGAUGCUGC